rnacentral:ncRNA from 1 species
GAAAAAGCAAAGAACAGAAGAGAUUAAAAGGAUGUUUUAGAGAACUGAUGGUUGGUGAAAAUCAGGACAGAAAUUUUAUGAAAAUGGUCUGGGAGCUGUUAUCUUGAAUAGUUAGAGAUAAACGUUAACUGCGUUAAAGUAAUGAGAGACACUUCGGUGUAAAAAAGGUGGUACCGCGUAUUUAACGUCCUUUUA